UUCGCAAGGGGCACUUGCUAGGCUUUAAAAGAUCACAGCGAUAGUUCACAAAACCCAACUGGGUGGGAUUGGUGCCAUGCUUUGAAGGACAAUUUCAGCAACGACUUAGUGCUUUUGCUUUUCGAAUGAGAUCAACAAUGACCAAAUGCUAGUUCAAAGAAUCGUCAAUCGUGUUUCAGAGAUAUUAAGUCAUAUGCCAUCAAAUGCUAGUUACCAUCAUGGCAAGUUAGUUGGAAUUGAUUCGCGUGUCGAGGAAGUAAUAUCGUUAUUGGAUAUUGAUGUAAAUGACAGAAAUUGGAUAAUAGGAAUUUGGGGAAUGGCUGGAAUUGGAAAGACAACUAUUGCCGGUAUUGUGUUUUCCCAAAUCAAGGCUAAAUUUGAUGCCUACUGCUUUGUUUUAAAUGUCAAGGAACA